UUGGUUAAGUUAGAAAGGGCGCACGGUGGAUGCCUUGGCACUAGGAGCCGAAGAAGGACGGGACUAACACCGAUAUGCUUUGGGGAGCUGUACGUAAGCGUUGAUCCAGAGAUUUCCGAAUGGGGGAACCCACUAUCUUUAGUCGGAUAGUAUCCUUACGUGAAUACAUAGCGUGAGGAAGGCAGACCCAGGGAACUGAAACAUCUAAGUACCUGGAGGAAGAGAAAGAAAAAUCGAUUUCCUGAGUAGCGGCGAGCGAAACGGAAAGAGCCCAAACCAAGAAGCUUGCUUCUUGGGGUUGUAGGACACUCUAUACGGAGUUACAAAAGAAAGUUAUAAAUGAAGCGGUCUGGAAAGGCCCGCCAAAGACGGUAACAGCCCGGUAGUUGAAAUAGCUUUCCCUCCAGAGUGGAUCCUGAGUACGGCGGAACACGUGAAAUUCCGUCGGAAUCCGGGAGGACCAUCUCCCAAGGCUAAAUACUCCCUAGUGACCGAUAGUGAACCAGUACCGUGAGGGAAAGGUGAAAAGCACCCCGGAAGGGGAGUGAAACAGUUCCUGAAACCGUGUGCCUACAAGUAGUUAGAGCCCGUUAAUGGGUGAUAGCGUGCCUUUUGUAGAAUGAACCGGCGAGUUACGAUUUGUUGCAAGGUUAAGCGGAAAAAGCGGAGCCGUAGCGAAAGCGAGUCUGAAUAGGGCGCAUAAGUAACAGGUCGUAGACCCGAAACCAGGUGAUCUACCCAUGUCCAGGAUGAAGGUAAGGUAAUACUUACUGGAGGUCCGAACCCACGCACGUUGAAAAGUGCGGGGAUGAGGUGUGGGUAGCGGAGAAAUUCCAAUCGAACUUGGAGAUAGCUGGUUCUCUCCGAAAUAGCUUUAGGGCUAGCCUCGAGGUAAAGAGUCAUGGAGGUAGAGCACUGUUUGGACUAGGGGCCCUUCUCGGGUUACCGAAUUCAGAUAAACUCCGAAUGCCAUGUACUUAUACUCGGGAGUCAGACUGCGAGUGAUAAGAUCCGUAGUCGAAAGGGAAACAGCCCAGACCACCAGUUAAGGUCCCCAAAUAUAUGUUAAGUGGAAAAGGAUGUGGGGUUGCUUAGACAACCAGGAUGUUGGCUUAGAAGCAGCCACCAUUGAAAGAGUGCGUAAUAGCUCACUGGUCGAGUGACCCCGCGCCGAAAAUGUACCGGGGCUAAACAUAUUACCGAAACUGUGGAUGAACCUCUUUAGAGGUUCGUGGUAGGAGAGCGU
rnacentral:rRNA from 1 species